AUUGAACGCUGGCGGCAGGCCUAACACAUGCAAGUCGAGCGAGCGGCGGACGGGUGAGUAAUGUCUGGGAAACUGCCUGAUGGAGGGGGAUAACUACUGGAAACGGUAGCUAAUACCGCAUAACAUCAGAUGUGACCAGAUGGGAUUAGCUAGUAGGUGGGGUAACGGCUCACCUAGGCGACGAUCCCUAGCUGGCCUGAGAGGAUGACCAGCCACACUGGAAAGGAGAAACGGUCCCGUCGCCUACGGGAGGCAGCCUUGGGGAAUAUGGCAGAAUGGGCUCGAGCCUGAUGCAGCCAUGCCGCGUGUGUGAAGAAGGCCCUCGGGGUGUAAAGCACUUUCGGCGGGGAGGCGUUACCCGCAGAAGAAGCACCGGCUAACUCCGUGCCAGCAGCCGCGGUAAUAC
rnacentral:rRNA from 1 species